rnacentral:tRNA from 2 species
GUAAAUAUAGUUUAAAAAAAACAUUAGAUUGUGAAUCUGAUAACAGAGUCUAACUCACUCUUAUUUACC